CCCCAACCGGGUCCUCUGCAGCUCGCAUAACCGCAGGCACCCGGCCGGCUCAGCCUGCGCCGGGCCGCCUUGCUAGCUCUGGGCUCGGCAGGCGGCCCGUGGGGUCCCGGAUCGCUGCGCCCACAGCUGGAGACCAAGGCAGGCGCUGACCUGAGGCCCGGAGGCCCGCGAGACCUUCGGUCAUUAUUAGGGGAGGAAAUGCAGGCAUAGAAGGUACUGACCCCAGAAGCGGACCGGAUCAGGAGGUUCCUGCUUGCCUGUGGCCAAGGGAACCUCUGGGGCAAGGAACCACCAUUCAACCUCCCUGUCUGAGCUUGACAUAACCAGCACAGUGAAGGGAACCCAAUGCCCAGAGAAGAGACUGAAACAAUCCCAGGAAGCAAGCGGGUGGCAGGAGUGAGCGUGGAGACAUCUUCAUCCCAGCCGGCUAUUCCCCAAAGCCCGACUCCUUUCUCGCAUGAGCUCAAGCUCUGUGCCUUCCACUUGCCUCUUUGACCCUGAGCUUGGUUGUCUAAGGUGUUAGCCAGGCCCCACCUUGUUGUUUAUUGAGAACUAAUAAAAAAAACUCAGGCACAGCAGUGUGGGGAGCCUGAGCUGCUUCCCGUCUGUUUGGCUGGUACUUUGUACCUAGCAACUCU